GAGCACUGUUAUGGCUAGGGGGUCAUUGCGACUUACCAAACCAUGGCAAACUCCGAAUACCAGCACGUACUAUCCGGGAGACACACGGCGGGUGCUAACGUCCGUCGUGAAAAGGGAAACAACCCAGACCCACAGCUAAGGUCCCAAAUUCAUCGCUAAGUGGAAAACGAUGUGGAAAGGCACAGACAGCCAGGAGGUUGGCUUAGAAGCAGCCACCCUUUAAAGAAAGCGUAAUAGCUCACUGGUCGAGUCGGUCUGCGCGGAAGAUUUAACGGGGCUAAGCGAUGAACCGAAGCUUGGGGUGCAUACUUUGUAUGCGCGGUAGAGGAGCGUUCCGUAAGCCGUUGAAGGUGGAUUGAGAAGUCUGCUGGAGGUAUCGGAAGUGCGAAUGCUGACAUGAGUAACGAUAAUGCGGGUGAAAAGCCCGCACGCCGAAAGCCCAAGGUUUCCUUGCGCAACGUUAAUCGACGCAGGGUGAGUCGGCCCCUAAGGCGAGGCAGAAAUGCGUAGUCGAUGGGAAGCAGGUUAAUAUUCCUGCACCUCGCGUAAGUGCGAUGGAGGGACGGAGAAGGUUAGGUUGGCCGGGCGUUGGUUGUCCCGGUGAGAGAGUUGAGGCGGUUCCCUUUGGCAAAUCCGGGGGAGCAACGUUGAGACUAAGGACCAGCCCUUUAGGGCGAAGCAACCGAUAUCACGCUUCCAGGAAAAGCUCCUAAGCUUCAGCUUACGCAGACCGUACCGAAAACCGACACAGGUGGGCAGGAUGAGAAUUCUCAGGCGCUUGAGAGAACUCGGGUGAAGGAACUAGGCAAAAUAGCACCGUAACUUCGGGAGAAGGUGCGCCCUCCAUGGUUAAUAGCUGAGGAGGGCCGCAGAAACCAGGCCGCUGCGACUGUUUAUCAAAAACACAGCACUCUGCAAACACGAAAGUGGACGUAUAGGGUGUGACGCCUGCCCGGUGCUGGAAACUAUAACGGUCCUAAGGUAGCGAAAUUCCUUGUCGGGUAAGUUCCGACCUGCACGAAUGGCGUAACGACAGCGGCGCUGUCUCCACCCGAGACUCAGUGAAAUUGAAAUCGCUGUGAAGAUGCAGCGUUCCCGCGGCAAGACGGAAAGACCCCGUGAACCUUUACUAUAGCUUUACACUGAACGUUGAGUUCGUCUGUGUAGGAUAGGUGGGAGGCUAUGAAAACCGAGGCGCUAGCUUCGGUGGAGCCAACCUUGAAAUACCACCCUGAUGUGCUUGACGUUCUAACUUAGGUCCGUUAUCCGGAUCGAGGACCGUGUAUGGUGGGUAGUUUGACUGGGGCGGUCUCCUCCCAAAGUGUAACGGAGGAGCUCGAAGGUACGCUCAGCGCGGUCGGACAUCGCGCACUGUGUGCAAAGGCAUAAGCGUGCUUGACUGCAAGAUCGACGGAUCAAGCAGGUAGGAAACUAGGACUUAGUGAUCCGGUGGUUCUGUAUGGAAGGGCCAUCGCUCAACGGAUAAA
rnacentral:rRNA from 1 species